rnacentral:rRNA from 2 species
CGCCCUUCAGUGCUGCAGCUAAACGCAUUAAGCAUUCCGCCUGGGGAGUACGGCCGCAAGGCUGAAACUCAAAGGAAUUGACGGGGGCCCGCACAAGCGGUGGAGCAUGUGGUUUAAUUCGAAGCUACGCGAAGAACCUUACCAGGUCUUGACAUACUAUGCAAAUCUAAGAGAUUAGACGUUCUUCGGGGACAUGGAUACUGGUGCAUGGUUGUCGUCACUCGUGUCGUGAGAUGUUGGGUUAAGUCCCGCAACGAGCGCAACCCUUAUUAUCAGUUGCCAGCAUUAAGUUGGGCACUCUGGUGAGACUGCCGGUGACAAACCGGAGGAAGGUGGGGAUGACGUCAAAUCAUCAUGCCCCUUAUGACCUGGGCUACACACGUGCUACAAUGAUGGUACAACGAGUUGCGAACUCGCGAGAGUAAGCUAAUCUCUUAAAGCCAUCUCAGUUCGGAUUGUAGGCUGCAACUCGCCUACAUGAAGUCGGAAUCGCUAGUAAUCGCGGAUCAGCAUGCCGCGGUGAAAUAACGUUCCCGGGCCUUUACACACCGCCCGUCACACCAUGAGAGUUUAACACCCAAAGU